CCUGGCUCAGGAUGAACGCUAGCUACAGGCUUAACACAUGCAAGUCGAGGGGCAUCAGGAAGAAAGCUUGCUUUCUUUGCUGGCGACCGGCGCACGGGUGAGUAACACGUAUCCAACCUGCCCUUUACUCGGGGAUAGCCUUUCGAAAGAAAGAUUAAUACCCGAUAGCAUAAUGAUUCCGCAUGGUUUCAUUAUUAAAGGAUUCCGGUAAAGGAUGGGGAUGCGUUCCAUUAGGUUGUUGGUGAGGUAACGGCUCACCAAGCCUUCGAUGGAUAGGGGUUCUGAGAGGAAGGUCCCCCACAUUGGAACUGAGACACGGUCCAAACUCCUACGGGAGGCAGCAGUGAGGAAUAUUGGUCAAUGGGCGCUAGCCUGAACCAGCCAAGUAGCGUGAAGGAUGAAGGCUCUAUGGGUCGUAAACUUCUUUUAUAUAAGAAUAAAGUGCAGUAUGUAUACUGUUUUGUAUGUAUUAUAUGAAUAAGGAUCGGCUAACUCCGUGCCAGCAGCCGCGGUAAUACGGAGGAUCCGAGCGUUAUCCGGAUUUAUUGGGUUUAAAGGGAGCGUAGGUGGACUGGUAAGUCAGUUGUGAAAGUUUGCGGCUCAACCGUAAAAUUGCAGUUGAUACUGUCAGUCUUGAGUACAGUAGAGGUGGGCGGAAUUCGUGGUGUAGCGGUGAAAUGCUUAGAUAUCACGAAGAACUCCGAUUGCGAAGGCAGCUCACUGGACUGCAACUGACACUGAUGCUCGAAAGUGUGGGUAUCAAACAGGAUUAGAUACCCUGGUAGUCCACACAGUAAACGAUGAAUACUCGCUGUUUGCGAUAUACAGUAAGCGGCCAAGCGAAAGCAUUAAGUAUUCCACCUGGGGAGUACGCCGGCAACGGUGAAACUCAAAGGAAUUGACGGGGGCCCGCACAAGCGGAGGAACAUGUGGUUUAAUUCGAUGAUACGCGAGGAACCUUACCCGGGCUUAAAUUGCAGUGGAAUGAUGUGGAAACAUGUCAGUGAGCAAUCACCGCUGUGAAGGUGCUGCAUGGUUGUCGUCAGCUCGUGCCGUGAGGUGUCGGCUUAAGUGCCAUAACGAGCGCAACCCUUAUCUUUAGUUACUAACAGGUCAUGCUGAGGACUCUAGAGAGACUGCCGUCGUAAGAUGUGAGGAAGGUGGGGAUGACGUCAAAUCAGCACGGCCCUUACGUCCGGGGCUACACACGUGUUACAAUGGGGGGUACAGAAGGCAGCUAGCGGGUGACCGUAUGCUAAUCCCAAAAUCCUCUCUCAGUUCGGAUCGAAGUCUGCAACCCGACUUCGUGAAGCUGGAUUCGCUAGUAAUCGCGCAUCAGCCACGGCGCGGUGAAUACGUUCCCGGGCCUUGUACACACCGC
rnacentral:rRNA from 1 species